rnacentral:rRNA from 1 species
UACGUAGGUGACCAGCGUUGUCCGGAUUUACUGGGCGUAAAGAGCGCGCAGGCGGUCGUUCAAGUCGAGUGUGAAAGCCCCCGGCUCAACUGGGGAGGGUCAUUCGAUACUGAUCGACUCGAAGGCAGGAGAGGGAAGCGGAAUUCCCGGUGUAGUGGUGAAAUGCGUAGAUAUCGGGAGGAACACCAGUGGCGAAGGCGGUUCUCUGGGCCUUACCUGACGCUGAGGAGCGAAAGCGUGGGGAGCGAACAGG